rnacentral:rRNA from 1 species
GAUGGAUUGGUGCCUUCGGGAACUCUGAGACAGGUGCUGCAUGGCUGUCGUCAGCUCGUGUUGUGAAAUGUUGGGUUAAGUCCCGCAACGAGCGCAACCCUUAUCCUUUGUUGCCAGCGGUUCGGCCGGGAACUCAAAGGAGACUGCCAGUGAUAAACUGGAGGAAGGUGGGGAUGUCGUCAAGUCUUCAUGGCCGUUACGAGUAGGGCUACACUCGUGCUACAUUGGCAUAUACAAAGAGAAGCGACCUCGCGAGAGCAAGCGGACCUCAUAAAGUAUGUCGUAGUCCGGAUUGGAGUCUGCAACUCGACUCCAUGAAGUCGGAAUCGCUAGUAAUCGUAGAUCAGAAUGCUACGGUGAAUACGUUCCCGGGCCUUGUACACACCGCCCGUCACACCAUGGGAGUGGG